GGGGAAUUUUGGACAAUGGGCGCAAGCCUGAUCCAGCCAUGCCGCGUGAGUGAAGAAGGCCUUCGGGUUGUAAAGCUCUUUCGGUGGGGAAGAAAUUGCUUGGGUUAAUACCCUGAGUAGAUGACGGUACCCGCAUAAGAAGCACCGGCUAACUACGUGCCAGCAGCCGCGGUAAUACGUAGGGUGCGAGCGUUAAUCGGAAUUACUGGGCGUAAAGCGUGCGCAGGCGGUUUUGUAAGUCAGAUGUGAAAUCCCCGGGCUCAACCUGGGAACUGCAUUUGAGACUGCAAGGCUAGAGUGUGGCAGAGGGGGGUAGAAUUCCACGUGUAGCAGUGAAAUGCGUAGAGAUGUGGAGGAAUACCGAUGGCGAAGGCAGCCCCCUGGGUCACUACUGACGCUCAUGCACGAAAGCGUGGGGAGCAAAC
rnacentral:rRNA from 1 species